AGCAUUUGUCCAUAUAGCUUCAGGUGUACUGGUUUGUGGCACUUAGCAAAGCAUAUUACCUGUGAUUUUUAAAUAGACAGUUUAAAUCCCCAUUUGUUUGCCCAUUCUUCAACUUUAUUUAUUGCAGGUUGCAUUUUGUCUACUCCACAUUUCGACCCCUGACCCAGAGUGCUCCAUCGUCAGCAUAAAGCGACUUUCCUAUGCCAAUUUCAACCUCUUCAAAGAUGUCAUUAAUCAUUAUGUUAAAUAGCAAUGGACCGCACAUACUACCCUGUGAGAUACCAUUUUCCACUGAAUAUUUAUUGGAAUAAUCUGUACCCACUUUAACUUCUAUGGUCCUCCCUAACAGGAAAAUCAACACCCAACUGUACAUGUUACGAUUUACACCUAAUUUGUUAAAGGAGCUAUAUGUAAGAAAUCUAAAGCAAAUAGCUGUAAAAUCAUCCUAAUAUGUCACAGAGACUAAGGAAUAAUGUUCAUAUAACAUACUGAUCUCACCGACAACAAUAGCACAGCCAGAAUAUUCGCAUUUAAAAAACAUUUUUACAGUCCGCAAAUCAUGUUUAUGUUUUGAAUUUGUGUUUUGGUCUGUUGCGCCACCCACCAGCGUCUACCAGUCACACAGUCAGUAGAGUCUCAGCAUCAGUUACAGUUAAGACUGAGCUACAGUAGCACGGCAAGCAGCAUUAGCAGUGUCCCGGUACAUAGCAUUAGCAGCUGGCUCCUCCUCAGCUGUAUCCUGGCAGCAGCGUUAGCAGUGUCCCGGUACAUAGCAUAAGCAGCCGGCUCCUCCACCGCUGUAUCCUGGCAGCAGCGUUAGCUGUGUACCAGUACAUAGCAUUAGCAGCCGGCUCCUCCUCAGCUGUAUCCUGGCAGCAGCGUUAGCUGUGUCCCGGUACAUAGCAUUAGCAGCCGGCUCCUCCUCAGCUGUAUCCCGGCAGCAGCGUUAGCAGCAGAGAAGCCGGACUUGCUCGAACGGUCCGCUGGAAAACUGAAGAUCAAGGACGCAGCGACGCGGCGCCUGUGGGCAAACAAAUCAGUCUCCAGCGUGCCGCUGUCCAGCAACCUCGAAUCUGUAGGGGAGGGGGGACGGACACGACUCGCGGCAGUAUUUUGAAUUUGAGUGCAGUAACAGUUUUGGCCACAUUCUUACAUACAGCGCCUUUAAAUUUGAUAAGGAGUCCCUCUUUCCGUAGCAUGUCAUAUGCUUUUUUUUUUUUGUGGUGACACCUCAUUGCAUCUCGCUGAUAAAGGGGCUUUGGCCAAUAUCCGGAGUGCUGGAGCUGAGACGGAGCCGGAACGCAGCACAGCUGUAGCCGGUGGAAACACACACAUUGACUAGAAUUGAAUCCUAUCGGCUCCGCUGCCGUGCCAACACACAUCUGGUGGAAAUAGGCCGUAAGGAGCAGCGGCUCUACUCUGGCUACACUGACUGGCCAUUCACAGACUACUGCUGCAACUGAAGCAGCGCCACACGCUGUGUUCUUCAGGCCCUCCUUCUGGCGUCGGCGUGGAAAAUCUCUGCCAGCUGACAUAACAACAUAACAUCUGACAUCUGAAAUUUACCAGUGCUGAUUCAUCCAUAGCGGGCCCGGUUUGGGCCCUCAGUGGUAAGUUUCUCUGCUAUUCCCUGGGUUGGACAGCUGUCUUUUCACCACUGCUUUGAUAUCCAUACUGCGGCAAAUAGUGCUGCACAUCUCGCCGUUUGCCCGUCCUGGCAUUUUGCUGGCUGUGGUUUUAUUUCUUUUACAGCUUUACCGAUGGCCCCAUCGGCGGCUGAGGUCACUGAGAUGAGGGCUGAGCUCCGGUCCAUUGAGCGGCUCAUCGAGGACCUCCUCCAGCAGCAGUCGGAGCUGUGUUCCCGACUGCCAUAUCUCGAGCCUGCGGGUAACCAGCGGACCUUGGCUGCGGAUGCGGCGGCUGGUGCUGCUGAAGUCCCUGGCUUGCUGUCUUCUUUCCCCUCCUGCUCGUCUGUAGUGAAAGGCAACAGAAGGCUCUCUCUUCCCCUCUAUGACCCGUCUGGUACUGGUGGUGGUGAUGACAUCCCCUUCACAAACUCCCCUCUGGCUGAGCUUUCCUCUGAGUCGGUCCUCUCCCCUGUUCCCCCACUUGAACGCAGAGUAGACCGUGUCGGACUGGCCAACAGAAAACACUCCAUAGCCAAAAAUCCAACCUCACCCAGGGACUCACUGUCCCCUCCAUCGGCCCCCAAACGGCCCCGUUUGUCACUCCAGUGGUUGGAGCCGGACAACCUGCCUGGCUCAGCAGCGGCUCCGGUAACCUCCUCUCCCCCAGCACAACCACCUGCUGCUGGCCUGGUGCCUCCCUCUGCGCGAGCAUCUAACCAUCCACACUCCGCUGAGCCCGGCCCGGCCCGGUCCUCGGUACUUGCCUUCACAGUCAACGCAGAGGUAUCUCACUCAUACACAAAACCGGCGACAUGCUAGCAAUGCUAAUAGGGCACUAGCUGCCUACUGGGCAGCUCAACCCAAACUCGCUGUCUAUGGACACGGUGUGGACUCCCCAGACGCUCAACAUGAAGUUCUGUUGCUUGGCGAUUCAAUGGUCAGAUUUGUUGAACUUCCUCACACCAUUACAUAUUGUUUCUCCGGUUUUAAAGUUGCUGAUAUGAUUGAACAAGCCCCUGCUAUUAUCGAUCUGCAUACCUCUGUCCACACUGUAGGCUUAAUUGUUCACCUGGGAACGAAUGACGUCAUGAUGAGGCAAUCAGCUAAACUCCACUAUGAGUUCGAGUCUUUAGCGACCACUAUUGAAAGCCUGGGUAAAACAUGCAUCCUGUCUGGUCCUGUUCCUACACUGAGAAAGGGAUCUGAACGUUUUAGCCGCCUGUUCAGUCUGAAUUCUUGGCUACAUACUUUCUGCACUGCUACUGGUUUUGGUUUUAUUGACCACUUUGAUUCAUUUUGGAGGAAAGAUUAUUUACUCAAAUGGGAUGGUAUUCAUCUGUCCAGACAUGGUGUGAAACAAUUUUCAGCAAACAUAAGGAAUUAUCUACCUCAUCUAUCUGACUGACAUACUUCUCUGCAGGCCCCUAUCCCUGAUAGGCCUUCUGUGAUUCCUGUGCUCAUCAUUAACCAACCCAGACUGCCAAAGGCUAAAUUAGAUUCUAAGAAUAAAAACAAAUCAAAUGUCAAUAGUAACCUCAUUUCAGUUAAGUGUACACCAACUCCAGAUAGCGUACAUCCCACUGCUUUUAACAGUAAACUUGGUCUUCUUAGUGUCAGAUCCCUUUCUAAUAAAUCAUUUUUAUGUAACGAUUUUAUUGUCAGCCAUGAUCUUGAUUUUUUUUUCUAAUCACUGAAUCAUGGCUGACCCAGGAUAACAUAGCUUCUUUAAUAGAAAUGAGUCCCUCUGGCUACUCCUAGCUGAACCAACCCAGAUUAACUGGCCGAGGGGGUGGUCUAGCUGUUUUCUAUAAGAGCUGUUUUAAAUGUUGUAGCACCACUUUUGGGUCUUUCACUACCUUUGAAUCCCUCUGUUUCACUAUUUCGGGUAGCGCACGAACCCUAUUCUUAUUUAUAGACCAUCUAAAUCUACAACUGGUUUUAUCACAGAAUUCUCAGAAUUAUUGUCAAUUGCUAUCCCUAAAUUCAAUAAUAUUUUAAUUUUAGGUGAUUUUAAUGUGCAUAUUUGUUGCCCUGAGAAUUUUUUAGCUAAUGAGUUUUUAAAUCUGGUGGAAUCUUUUAGUUUGUCUCUCGCUCCUACUGGUCCUACUCACACCAAAGGCCACACAUUGGAUCUCGUUUUAUUUACUGGAAUUACUGUAAACAACAUGCUCUGUAUUGAUAUUGGGGUCACUGAUCAUAAUUGUAUUUUAUUUAACACCGCCUUGCCCAUUAUUUCAAACCAACCUGAAAGUCAGACACGCUCCCGCAUUUUUAAUUCAACCUCUGCCUCCAUAUUCUGUCAAGAAUUUGCUUCCUCGGAGUUCCAAAUUUGCUCUUUAAUGAACACUAACGAUAUUUUAAAUGGUUUUAACAGCACCUGCUCAGACAUUCUAGACAUAGUUGCACCUUUUAAAACCAGAAAGGCUAAAAAUACCUCUCAACCCUGGAUAAAUGAGGAAAUUCGCUCAUUAAAGUCCGUGGAAAGCGAAUACAAUGAUUUGCUUCUAAACACCUUAUACAUGUUGGAAAAUUGUUACAGAAAACAUGUGAAAAGUUUGGGGAUUGUGCAUUACCGAUUUGUGGAGUUAUAGCCUUAAACUGUUUGUCAUCCUCUCAAUUUUUUUGAUUUUCUGACCCUGCAAAAAAGGGAUACGCCGUGACAUCUAGCCGUAUCCCGGGUGACCUUGGCCCCUCCCCUACUAUAUAAGGCCGAACGCGCCCUGUUGUCAUUGGAUAUCCCACUCACUUCUGAGUUAUUACCACACUGUUACUACCACAGCCUGUAUUUUGCUUGCUUGCUAGCUAGCCAUGCCUGCUCCACGUUCGUGUAUCUUCCCUGGAUGCCAUAAUUUAAAUAAUGGCUCUGUGUCAUUAUUUAAAUUCCCAAAAAGUGAAGAGCUGAGGAAACGAUGGAUUGAUUUCGUGAGGCGCCACACUGUUGGAGAGCUGAAGAUCACCGCCAACAGCCACCUCUGCAGCAACCACUUCACCAUGGAUAGUUUUCACAACUAUCAUCAAAAACAACUGGGCUUUACUUCUAAACCACUUUUACUGGUGAAUGAGGCUGAGCCCACCGUCUCCCUUCCCGGACUUCAUCCGUCAGUCGCGGCGACAUCAGGUGCCACAGUCGGCUGUAACGUCAAGAUCCCACCGAUGAGUCAGACCCUGCCAACCACAAGAGAUGCAGCAUGCCAGUGUGAUGACCUGCAAAAGGCCACAAGGGAAACUGGAUGUCAAACAGACUGCUAUGUGGGGAGAAGGACAGUGGCCACCCAACUGUCCAAAAGAACACUGUACAACAGAAAGACUACAGGCUCUCAAGCCACAGUGGCGACAAGAAGUGUUGCUGUGGGCAACAACACAUCCCAGUUUCUCCCACUCUGCUCUUCAGCACCACAGAAGCGCAGAGCUGGUCGAGAUGAUGGCCCACAAGCAAAACGCUCUCUCCUGGAAUGUCCCUCUCUUCAGGAAUCUGACGUAACCUCAGUCAGUACAGAUCCUGAUGAUUCCAACUAUCUCCCCAGCAUAUCAUCACUGGAUGACACCAUCAGUGACCAAGCACCAACAAAGACACCGCAGGAUAUCACAAAGUACCUGGUGUAUGUAUAUGUCUGUCCUCAAGCAGAACGGUAAUGGAAGGCCACACGAUUAACUGUCCACUUUGACAGUCUAAAAAUUUUAAUGAAAGAUUUUAAUUUGAAAAUUAAAAAUGCUCGAGCAAACUAUUUUACAGAUAUUAUUGAGAAAAACCAGCAUAACACCAGAGUGCUUUUUAAUAUCAGCCGCACUACAGAUGCCCCUCCCAUUGUGAUUGAGCCGUCUACGGAGACGUGAGGAGUUUUUAUCUUUCUUUUCUAACAAAGUCAGUACAAUAGGAAAUCAAAUCACCCCACUGCCUCUUGUAACACUCGAUCUACCCAUUAAUCUGUCGUGCUCUUUAAAUUUAUUUCACCCUGUCUCAGUAGAACAUCUUGGCAAAACCAUCUCUAGCAUGAAGUCCACAUCCUGUCCUCUUGAUAUCAUCCCCACCCGCUUCCUUAAAGAAGUUCUGCAUUUAGUUUGUCCUUUUAUUUUAACUAUAAUUAACUCUUCCCUCUCAUCAGGUAUAGUUCCUGACCACUUCAAGACUGCAUUAGUACAACCACUUCUCAAAAAACCCUCAUUAGACCUCACCAUCCUGAACAACUUUCGUCCCAUUUCCAAACUUCCAUUUCUGGCCAAGGUUUUAGAAAAAAUUGUUGCAGAACAGAUAAUUUCAUUUAUGACCAGAAAUGGCCUGUUUGAAAAAUUCCAGUCUGGCUUUAGAGCGGCCCAUAGCACAGAGACUGCGCUCCUCAAAGUGCUCAACGACCUUCUUUUAGCAGCUGACUCUGGCCAUUCAUCUAUUUUAAUCCUUUUAGAUCUCACUGCAGCUUUUGAUACCGUGGAUCACCUGAUUUUAUUGGAAUGUCUCAAGAAGUGGGUUGGCAUCUCUGGCACAGUUUUAGACUGGUUUUACUCAUAUCUCCAAAAUAGGACUUUUAAUGUUGCUAUUGGUGACUGCAGAUCUUCCACAGCAUCUUUGUCUUGUGGAGUACCUCAGGGGUCAGUCCUUGGCCCGCUGCUCUUCUCAGUCUACAUGUUACCACUAGGACACAUAAUCCGCAGACACAAUAUUAGUUUCCAUUUAUACGCAGAUGACACACAGCUUUAUUUCUCUUUCGACCCUACCAUCAACCAUCAACUGAACACUCUCCACCCUAACCCUAAAUGAAGUACAAAUCUGGCUGUCUAAUAACUUCCUUCAAUUGAACCCAGACAAAUCCGAAGUCAUUAUCAUAGGCCCAGACACCACACACAAUCACAUCUCACCACAACUUGGCUUAUUCUCCACCAGCAUCACCCCUAGCUGCAGAAAUCUUUGCAUAAUUUUUGAUAGUAAUGUCAACUUUAAUCAGCAUGUUAAAACAAUUGUCCAGUCUUGUUUCAUCCAACUACGCAGAAUCUCCAAAAUCCAGUCCUUUCUGUCUCCCAAGAACCUGGAAAUUGUCAUUCAUGCAUCCCGUUUAGAUUACUGUAACUCACUCUACUCCUGCCUAAGUAAACAUAAUCUUUCCAGACUUCAGCUUAUUCAAAAUUCUGCUGCCAGAAAUUCAAACAAAAGAGUACACAUAACCCCGAUUUUAGCUUCAUUACACUGGCUACCUGUGCGUUUUAGAAUUGAUUUUAAGAUUUUAAUGAUCACUUUUAAGGCCCGGAUGGGACUGGCCCCUAAGUACAUCAAAGACUGCUUAGUCCCAUAUGAGCCAAGGCAAAGCCUGAGAUCCUCCGGUGGGUCCCUAUUAGAGAUUCCAAGAUCUAGAUUGAAAGCCAAGGGCGACCGGGCCUUUGCUAUCAGGGCCCCGUCGCUCUGGAACGACCUGCCGGACGAGAUCAGUUGAGCCACAUCUCUGUCCUCUUUUAAAUCUCUCUUUAAAACACACUUUUUUAAAUGUGCUUUUACUUAAUUGCUGUUGUCAUCUAAUAAUGUACUCUAUUUUCUAAUGUUUUAUUGUUUUUUAUGUUCUUAUGUUUUUAUAUUAUUGUCAUUUUAUUGGAUUCUGCCUUUUUAUUCUGCUGUUGUAAAGUACCUUGUAACUUUGUUUGGUGCUAUACAAAUAAAGCUUAUUAUUAUUAUUAUUAUUAUUACUAUUAUUUUUCAAUAUCAAAAAAACACUCUGCAAUAACAGAUUCUUUGUUAGUUUGAGCUUUCCUGAUUUCUGACUCCAGACAUAGGACAGAGUCCAUUGUCCAUUGUCAUAUGUAGAAAUUAGAAAAUAGUCAUUUGCUCUUUAGAAAGUGUUUUAGUCUUUCUGUUACUAUUCGUUCCAUUGUCUUCACUAACUGUGAAGUUAAUGCAAUGGGCCUGUAACGUGAUGAUGGAUUAGAUAAAUCUUUACCUGGUUUGAGUAUUGGUACAAUAACUGACUGCUUCCAUGUUUGCGAUCGAUUGUGGCUGUAUUCCAUAUCAUGUUGAACAAUCUUAAUACAAUUUCAAGUGUACUGUCUUUCAUAUGAGCUAGCAUGCUGUGGCAGAUAUUGUCUUUUCUUGGCAAGGUUUGCCGCACAUUAGAAAGGGCUCUCCUUAAUUCAAAAAGAUUAAGUGGUAAAUCUAAAUAUUCUCCUGAUGAAGCCCCUCUUUCUGUGAUUCCUGGAUUUUGUGCAAGGGUACUGUCUCUACAUUGCUUAGCUUUUUCUGAUAGAUUUCCUGAGUUGUUGAUUUUCACAAAUGUCUUCACUAAGAGUUCUGCCUUUUCUACAUUACUAACUGCACUUAUAUUUCUGUUGGUCAGCACUGGUAUUUCAAAAUUGUUCUUUAUGCCAUUCCUAAUCAUACCCCACACAUCUGACAGUUGUGUUUCUCUCCCAAUCUUUUUACAGUAUUGACUCCAGUAUGUUCCUUUUGCUGAUCUAACCGUUUUUAGAACUGUUGCUUGUGCUCUUUUAUAUUGAAUCAAUGUGUCCAUUGUGUGGUGAGCUUAAAGUUGUCUGAAUGCUCUAUUUCUCAUUUUAAUGGCUUUAUUGCAAUUUUCAUCCCACCAUGGUACACUUUUCUUACAUUUGCCUCCUACACUCUUUGGAGUAGUCUUUUCUGCUGUCUGUAUAAUAGCUGUAACCAACUUUUUAUUAAGUUCCUCCACAUCUACUAUACUCUCUCCUGUUAGCUCUGCACAUCUGGCUUCACUUAACACUUGAAAUGCACCCCAGUUCACUUUACCUAACUUCCACCUUGGUAAUCUCCUUUCCCCCUUUUGACAUAUCUCUAUUCCUAUUUUGAUUCUUAUUGGGUAGUGAUCACUACCCAUUAAUGACUGGUUCAAUACCUCCCAAGUACUAAUUCCUGCAGUUACAGUGGAUGUGAAUGUCAAAUCUAUUGCACUUUCUGUAUUCUGUGAAAUGUUAUUUCUUGUACCCUUUCCAUCAUUAAGACAUACUAAGCCCUUCUCAUCCAUGAAUUCCUCAAUUACAGACCCAUUAGCAUCUGUAUUGCUACUCCCCUACAAAGUAUUGUGCACGUUAAAAUCCCCACACAUUAUUUUACCUUGUGUCAGCCCACAUGCAGCAUUUAAUAACAUGUUAGGACUUAGUCUAUUACAAGGGUUAUAGUAAUUGACUGCUGUCCUUUCCUGUGCAUACUUUCACUACAAUAGAUUCUUGUUCUUUCUCUAGAUAAGUUAUAACCCAUCCCUUACAAAUGUAGCCACACCUCCACCUUUCCCAGUUUCCCUAUCAUUCCAGAUUACAGUAUAUCCAUAUAAAACAAAAUUCCACACUGAUUUCAGCCAUGUUUCCUGUAUACACAUCACGAGGCUUGUCAACUAAAUUUGAAACAUACUUUUUAUAUUUUUGUCCAUUAGCAAUAAGGCUUCUAGCAUUUUACUGUAGGUCAAUUAAUACCAUUAUGAGCCCCCAUCCAAUGCCUGAGUGCUAGAAGUUCCUUCACUUAACUUUUCUUCAACUGCAACUCCCAGCUUAGUCCUUUAACUCCAAGGUGUUUCUCUGCUGAUUUUACUAUGAUCUUGAUUUUUUUCGUUUUCUUGUCUGUCUGUGCUGAGCAGUUUAUCACAUCUACCAUUAACAACACAAAUUCAUUCAUUCAUUCAUUCAUCUUCUAACCGCUUCAUCCUCGUGAGGGUCGCGGGGGGGCUGGAGCCUAUCCCAGCUGACAUCGGGCGAGAGGCAGGGUACACCCUGGACAGGUCGCCAGACUAUCGCAGGGCUGACACAUAGAGACAAACAACCAUUCACACUCACAUUCACACCUACGGACAAUUUAGAGUUAUCAAUCAACCUAGUCCCCAAUCUGCAUGUCUUUGGACUGUGGGAGGAAGCCGGAGUGCCCGGAGAGAACCCACGCUGACACGGGGAGAACAUGCAAACUCCGCACAGAAGGGCUCCCACACCCGGGAUCGAACCGGCAACCCUCUUGCUGUGAGGCGCCAGUGCUAACCACCACACCACCAUGCCGCAACACAAAUUCACUCUUGCUCAAAAUUAACAAAUCUGUCUUUUCAGCAAUCUUGUUACAUCCACCGCAGGGUCUGUUGCUACUCUCUGUGCCCACUGAUUUAGAGGCCUCUGUCUGCCCGCACACUUUCUUCACUGCCUCUGCAUAUGUGAUCCCCUGAGAGACUUUGACUCAUUGCACUUCUGCUGCUUUCUUACUGACUUCACAUCCUCGAUAGGCUGAGCUAUGUUUACCUUCACAAUUGCAACACUUCAGUUUCGGUUUUUCAAAUUUCUCAUACUUGUGCUCACCUGCACACCUACCACAUCUUUGCUUGCCCUUGCAGUUUGCUGCUAAAUGACCAUAUUUUUGGCACUUGAAACACCUUAGUGGUGGAGGGAUAUAUGGCCAUACCUCAUAGCUCACGUAACCUAUAUACACUUCACUUGGUAGUUAAGGUUUGUCGAGUUUAAUCAUGACGGACAAGCUGUCACAUUUUUUCUCCAUAUCUGGUUGUUUUCAGGAGUUUUGCUUCCAACACUUUUGUGCCCUCCAGGUUAUCUUUAAAUUGCUAUUCUGACACAACUGUAGGUACUCUUGAAAUGACACCAUGGACAAACUUUUUAUCCUUGAGCAGUGAACUUUCCUUGUUGUGCGCUAUCCUGACAGAAGAUCAGCAAUGAUGAAUUAAUAUUGUUGUAAGCUAUUAUCAUUACUGUCUGCCCUGCAUCUCUCUCUGGCUGUCUCAAUUUCUCUCUCUGUCUCUGUCUCUCUUUAUGUAUAAUAUUGUCAUAUGGAUUACUGCAAAUUUAUAAUGUCGAUCUGUUCUGUACGACAUCUAUUGUACGUCUGUCUGUCCUGGAAGAGGGAUCCCCCCUCAGUUGCUCUUCCUGAGGUUUCUACCAUUUUUUUUUUCUGUUAAAGGGUUUUUUUGGGGGAGUUUUUCCUUAUUCACUGUGAGGGCACAAAGGACAGAGGGAUGUUGUAUGCUGUAAAGCCCUGUGAGGCAAAUUGUGAUUUGUGAUAUUGGACUUAAUAAAUAAAAUUGAUUGA